rnacentral:rRNA from 1 species
CUACGGAGGGUGCGAGCGUUAAUCGGAAUUACUGGGCGUAAAGGGUGCGUAGGCGGUUUGAUAAGUCGGAUGUGAAAGCCCCGGGCUUAACCUGGGAAUGGCAUUCGAUACUGUCAGGCUCGAGUAUGUCAGAGGUUGGCGGAAUUCCUGGUGUAGCGGUGAAAUGCGUAGAUAUCAGGAGGAACACCAGUGGCGAAGGCGGCUAACUGGGGCAAUACUGACGCUGAGGCACGAAAGCGUGGGGAGCAAACAGGAUUAGAAACCCCAGUAGUCC